UACGGGGGGAGCAAGCGUUGUUCGGAUUUACUGGGCGUAAAGGGCGCGUAGGCGGCCUGCUAAGUCGAACGUGAAAUCCCCGGGCUCAACCCGGGAACUGCGUCCGAUACUGGCAGGCUUGAAUCCGGGAGAGGGAUGUGGAAUUCCAGGUGUAGCGGUGAAAUGCGUAGAUAUCUGGAGGAACACCGGUGGCGAAGGCGGCAUCCUGGACCGGCAUUGACGCUGAGGCGCGAAAGCCAGGGGAGCAAACGGG
rnacentral:rRNA from 1 species